GUGCUCGCUUCAGCAGCACAUAUACUAAAUUUGGAAGAUAUAGAGAAGAUUAGCAUUGUCCCUGCACAAGGAUAGCACACAGAUUCAUGAAGCAUUCCCGUAUUUA
ensembl:snRNA U6 U6 spliceosomal RNA